GACGAACCGUCCAAACGUUAUUCGGAAUUACUGGGCUUAAAGGGUGCGUAGGCGGCGCAGCAAGUCAGGGGUGAAAUCCCGGAGCUCAACUCCGGAACUGCCCUUGAAACUGCAGUGCUAGAAUUCUGGAGAGGCGAGUGGAAUUCCGAGUGUAGAGGUGAAAUUCGUAGAUAUUCGGAAGAACACCGGUGGCGAAGGCGGCCCGCUGGGCAGUGACUGACGCUGAGGCGCGACAGCGUGGGGAGCAAACAGG
rnacentral:rRNA from 1 species